UGAAUACGAGAUGCUACGGCGUCGAAGCAGUGUAUGUCAGACUUCCAAGAAAAGCUCGCAAUGUCAUAAAUAAAGAAUGCCUGUACCAUAACCGACACAGGUGGGUAGGUAGAGUAUACUAAGGGGCGCGAGAUAACUCUCUCUAAGGAACUCGGCAAAAUAACUCCGUAACUUCGGGAGAAGGAGUGCCUUCUUUAAGAAGGUUGCAAUAACAAGAUCCAAGCAACUGUUUAUCAAAAACACAGGUCUCCGCUAAGUCGUAAGACGAUGUAUGGGGGCUGACGCCUGCCCAGUGCCAGAAGGUUAAAGAAGUUGGUUAGCUUUUGCGAAGCUGAUGACUGAAGCCCUGGUGAACGGCGGCCGUAACUAUAACGGUCCUAAGGUAGCGAAAUUCCUUGUCGGGUAAGUUCCGACCCGCACGAAAGGCGUAAUGAUUUGGAUACUGUCUCGGAGAGGGACUCGGUGAAAUAGACUUGUCUGUGAAGACGCGGACUACCUGCACCAGGACAGAAAGACCCUAUGAAGCUUUACUGUAACUUGAAAUUGAAAUUGGACUUUAUUUGCGCAGUAUAGGUGGAAGGCGUUGAAAGUAAUCUUGCGGGAUUAGUGGAGCCAUCAGUGAGAUACCACUCCUAUAAUGUUAGAUUUCUAACUUUGGAUCAUGAUCUGGUCAAAGAACAGUUUCAGGCGGGCAGUUUGACUGGGGCGGUCGCCUCCCAAAUGGUAACGGAGGCGUACAAAGGUUUCCUCUGAACGGGUAGAAAUCGUAUCUAGAGUGUAAAGGCAUAAGGAAGCUUGACUGUGAGACCUACAAGUCGAGCAGGGACGAAAGUCGGUCUUAGUGAUCUGACGGUGCUGAGUGGAAAGGCCGUCACUCAACGGAUAAAAGUUACUCUAGGAUAACAGGCUGAUCUCCCCCAAGAGUUCACAUCGACGGGGAGGUUUGGCACCUCGAUGUCGGCUCAUCGCAUCCUGGGGCGGUAGUACGUCCCAAGGGUUGGGCUGUUCGCCCAUGAAAGCGGUACGCGAGCUGGGUUCAGAACGUCGUGAGACAGUUCGGUCCAUAUCCGGUGUAGGCGUUAGAAUAUUGGGAGGAGCCUUCUUUAGUACGAGAGGACCGAGAAGGACAUACCUCUGGUGUACCAGUUAUCGUGCCAACGGUAAACGCUGGGUAGCUAUGUAUGGAGAGGAUAACCGCUGAAAGCAUCUAAGUGGGAAGCCCACCUCAAGAUGAGUA
rnacentral:rRNA from 1 species